AUGUACAAGACCACAAUGGGUGUCAUCUUAAUAGUCGGACUCAGAACCCAUUUUGGUGGUGGUUAAACAAUGGGUUUUGGCAUGUUAUCUGGUUCUUUGAAUUAUGCAAAGAAAAAUGAACUCAAACAUAGACUUGCAAGACACGGCUGGCAUGAGAAGAAGAUGACCUCAAAAAAACAGCAAAAGGAAUGCAAGGGCAGAAUGAAGUCAAGAGACUGCAAAGGCCAAUGUCAGUGCUGGCAAAAAGCAAAAGGAGUAA
rnacentral:lncRNA from 1 species